rnacentral:rRNA from 1 species
GUUAAGCGACUAAGCGUACACGGUGGAUGCCCUGGCAGUCAGAGGCGAUGAAGGGCGUGCUAAUCUGCGAUAAGCGCCGGUAAGGUGAUAUGAACCGUUAUAACCGGCGAUACCCGAAUGGGGAAACCCAGUGUGACUCGUCACACUAUCAUUAACUGAAUCCAUAGGUUAAUGAGGCGAACCGGGGGAACUGAAACAUCUAAGUACCCCGAGGAAAAGAAAUCAACCGAGAUUCCCCCAGUAGCGGCGAGCGAACGGGGAGGAGCCCAGAGCCUGAAUCAGCAUGUGUGUUAGUGGAAGCGUCUGGAAAGGCGCGCGAUACAGGGUGACAGCCCCGUACACAAAAGCGCAUGUGCUGUGAGCUCGAUGAGUAGGGCGGGACACGUGGUAUCCUGUCUGAAUAUGGGGGGACCAUCCUCCAAGGCUAAAUACUCCUGACUGACCGAUAGUGAACCAGUACCGUGAGGGAAAGGCGAAAAGAACCCCGGCGAGGGGAGUGAAAAAGAACCUGAAACCGUGUACGUACAAGCAGUGGGAGCCCCACCACCAAAGCAUUCUCUGGUGUUGAAGGCCCUGCAAAGCAGCAUCGCGGUGGCGGAGCGUCGUUUGCGACGCCCAACACACAAAACAAGCGGUGAGUGCUUUGGGGUGGGGUGACUGCGUACCUUUUGUAUAAUGGGUCAGCGACUUAUAUUCUGUAGCAAGGUUAACCGAAUAGGGGAGCCGGAGGGAAACCGAGUCUUAAUUGGGCGUUAAGUUGCAGGGUAUAGACCCGAAACCCGGUGAUCUAGCCAUGGGCAGGUUGAAGGUUGGGUAACACUAACUGGAGGACCGAACCGACUAAUGUUGAAAAAUUAGCGGAUGACCUGUGGCUGGGGGUGAAAGGCCAAUCAAACCGGGAGAUAGCUGGUUCUCCCCGAAAGCUAUUUAGGUAGCGCCUCGUGAAUUCAUCUCCGGGGGUAGAGCACUGUUUCGGCUAGGGGGCCAUCCCGGCUUACCAACCCGAUGCAAACUGCGAAUACCGGAGAAUGUUAUCACGGGAGACACACGGCGGGUGCUAACGUCCGUCGUGAAGAGGGAAACAACCCAGACCGCCAGCUAAGGUCCCAAAGUCAUGGUUAAGUGGGAAACGAUGUGGGAAGGCCCAGACAGCCAGGAUGUUGGCUUAGAAGCAGCCAUCAUUUAAAGAAAGCGUAAUAGCUCACUGGUCGAGUCGGCCUGCGCGGAAGAUGUAACGGGGCUAAACCAUGCAC